GGCAACAUCUUUUUUGGUUGGUUUUUUUUCAUCAUAUUUUCUUGUCGUCAAAGAGAUCAGAGUUGCGCCAUACCUUUAAAUAAUUUAGGCCAGUUAUUUUCCUGCUUCUCAGCACCAUUCGUAUUUAUAAAGCUGUGCAGUAUAUCAAGAUGACGAAAGGGACAAGCAGCUUCGGAAAGUGGCGCAACAAAAGCCACACGUUGUGCAAUCGGUGUGGAAAACGAUCUUACCAUACGCAAAAGAAACGGUGCGCUAGCUGUAACUUUCCGGCGGCUAAGAUGCGAUCAUUUAAAUGGUCUAAGAAAGCCAUUUCGAAACGAACAACCGGUGCUGGUCGCUUGCGUUAUCUCAAGCACAUUCGCCGUUGCAUGCGUAAUGGAGUCAACGCACGAAAAGCGAAAUAGUGAGCUGCCCUGAAGCAUGUUGGACUCGGUCACGCAUUCAAACCGGAACAUGGGAUUAAGCCAAACGCUCUGCAUGACAAUUAGAGCAAAUUACACAUCAAGCGCAAAAGUCACCUUAAAGUGUGAUUGAUUUCCAAUCCGUGUGUUGCAAUCGUUCAAUCAUCGUCGCAAGAUUGAUGGAAAUCAUUGCGGUAAGGAAUGAACUUCUUACGUGAGAAAAAUAAUAAACAGAAAUUAUAA